GGCUCCCUCCCACGUGAUGGAGAAUGGGCGGGGACAGGCCCUAUGGCCCCGCCCCCCGCUGGGGUGACCCUGCCCCCGGCAGGUCCGUCACUCGCUCAUACCGAGGGGCCCCAGAGGUCCAGGACAUUGCCUGUGGUUGACGAAAAAAAGCUUUGAACUGAAACGGUGGAUGGCUCCAACACCAGAAGGAACCUGACUGAUGAGAUCUGAAUGCAAAGCGUGGGCAGUAUUGACUCAGUCUUGGCCAACACAGGACCAGUGUGACUGUUUCCUCAGAGAGGUGGCUUUGUGCCUUAAUAAAGUUCGGUUAAAUGGA